rnacentral:rRNA from 1 species
UAUUAUACUAAUAAAUAUAUGUAAAUCUAAAUUAUUAAUAGCUAUAUACUUUAAAUUUGAAGAAUUUGGCGGUAGUUUAGUCUUGUUAGAGGAACCUGUUUUUAAAUCGAUACACCACGUAAAAUCUUACUUAUUUUAUUUAGUUUGUAUACCGUCAUUAUCAGAUAAUCUUGAAAAAGAGAAUUGUUGUACUUUAAAUACAAGAUAAAUUAGAUCAAGGUGCAGCUAAUAAAUAAGUUAAAAUGGGUUACAAUAAAAUUUAUUUAUAUGGAAUAAUUACUGAAAUAAGAUUAUAAAGGUGGAUUUAAUUGUAAUUAAGGUUUAAUAAGCUAAAGAGAUAUAAGCUCUAAAUUAU